rnacentral:misc_RNA from 1 species
AGGUAAGCCACUAGAACCAGAAGAUACAGGUAAAGGCAAAGGGCUAAUCAAUUGAAUAGCAGUAGAACAUUCAGGUGUUCUCAAGUUAUUCGGUUCCCCAUAUCUCUCAUCAUCAGUAUUGAAGCCUUCAUUUAGAUCAAAUUCCACUUUCGCUUCAAUAUCUGCCCCCCCUACAGCAGAAAAUGAAGCAGCAUCUACAGCACCAGAUGUACUUUCCUCCGCUUCAUCGGCAUCAGUGGCAUUCAACUUUGAUCCUCUACACCUUGCUUCUUGUUCUGGUUCUUGCACAAUUGCAGGUGAUGCCUUGUUGAGAGCUUGAGCACCACUAAGUUGUUCUUUAGGUUGAUUACCUUCUAGACUCUCCUCCAUAGUCUCAACCUUGUGAUCAGUAACAGCUAAACCAAAAUUAUUUUCCUGCGCAUUAUUUCCUUUUUCGGUAUGCUGACUUGCGUCAUCUGUUUCAUCAGCCUUUUCAGCCUUCACCUCCCCAACAACAUUUUCAGAGACAAUAUCUUUACCAGAACCAGUAGGAUGCAGCACAUCCCCAACCCUUCUUUUUGCAAACUCGGAGCAAAUGGUAGCAGGAGGUUUUUGCUCUGCUUUCACGGUAAUGUUCAACUCUUCGUUCAUAUUUUUCAUGUUGUCACCAUCUAUCUCCAUUGACGGGCAAGGCAAUGAUCCUUCUACCGGUGCAGUCCCACCUUCUAAUCUAGAAACAUAACCAUUAUCUUCACUUGGAAUGCAACUAUGCAACUUAUCUUUUGUAUCAGAUACGCCAUCUGCCUUUUCCUCCCAUGUUUCUUUGUCUGCAUUAGUUGAUGUUUUAUCUACUGUGCUUGCAGAGAGCAGAGCCACAGAAGGAACCAGUAAUAUUUCCUCUGAUUUCACAUUUUUUUCUAGGCAAGGUUCAGCAAUUUGGUGCACAUCCAUAUUGGAAGAAGUUGAAUGUCCAUUAAGCACCUCUGCUGGUUUUUCUUCAGAUAAUGAUACAAUUUUAUCCUCUGUGCUCUUGGCCAGUGAAGUACUAGUAACCGCCUUCUCAUUUGCAUCAUCAGCACUAUCAACUGACGGUCUCCGAUCUCGAGCAUGGUUAUCACCUGGAGACGACUUUAGUCUUGAAUCACUGCUUGUGCAGGAGUACUCAACAGCAGUGAUGUUUCUUGGUGGAGAAUGAUUUGGGGAAGCCAUAUCUAAUUUGGACAUCUCCCCAGCAGCCACACUAGCAAGCAGGUUCAUUCCAACAUCAUCCCCGGCUGAAAUGGAGGCAUUUACUUCAGAGUACUUGACA